rnacentral:rRNA from 1 species
GACGAACGCUGGCGGCGUGCUUAACACAUGCAAGUCGAACGGAAAGGCCCUGCUUUUGUGGGGUGCUCGAGUGGCGAACGGGUGAGUAACACGUGAGUAACCUGCCCUUGACUUUGGGAUAACUUCAGGAAACUGGGGCUAAUACCGGAUAGGAGCUCCUGCUGCAUGGUGGGGGUUGGAAAGUUUCGGCGGUUGGGGAUGGACUCGCGGCUUAUCAGCUUGUUGGUGGGGUAGUGGCUUACCAAGGCUUUGACGGGUAGCCGGCCUGAGAGGGUGACCGGCCACAUUGGGACUGGGAUACGGCCCAGACUCCUACGGGAGGCAGCGGCGGGGAAUAUUGCACAAUGGGCGGAAGCCUGAUGCAGCAACGCCGCGUGCGGGAUGACGGCCUUCGGGUGGUAAACCGCUUUCGCCUGUGACGAAGCGUGAGUGACGGUAAUGGGUAAAGAAGCACCGGCUAACUACGU